UUAAAAAUUAAAAAAAGCUGGGUUUCUCACUUUCUCCACUAUUAGAUCGUGCACGCAUAGAUUCUUCCCGCCCUACUCCACACCUUGCUGUGCCGUCAUUGCAUCGAUCCUUUUGCCAUCUCGCGCCCUAACUGUCUCCUUCCCCCAUUUCUGAGCCGACCCACAACUCCUCUGCCAUCAUGCUCACCAGAAGAAGACGGAGAACGAACAACACCAGCACCAAUAGCAGUUGUAAGGCAUAAAACCCUUGAUUCCCCAAACCCCAUCUCCAAAAUUCCCAUUUUUUAGGUCAGGGGUUUCCAAUUUAGGCGAAACUGGAAGAAUUGUAACAGGAACAUUGCGAUUGGGAUUGGAAUCAGCAGAGCGACACUUUCGACCUUCCCAAUCAGCGGUGAAAGAUGCGGUCAAAUUCGCUGUCGAUGCCCAUGACACGGAGGUUGGUUGGGUCGAGGAGGGAGUGGAAGGGAGGAGAGGAAGAAGUUGAAGAAGGAGGGGUUGGGGUUGGGGGCUCGUAAUCGAUGUUCCUCUUGGCGUUCAAGCGCUGCAACCGAGGUUGAGGUUGCUUCUUCGUCUUCCACUUCCACUCCAUUGUUACUGGUUAUGCUCUUGUUCUUCUUCUACUGCUUCUUCUCUGGCUGCUGGAAACUACUAGAAAGGAAUGUGCUGAGUUGUUUCCUCUUGGUUGCAUUCUUUCUUACCACUUUUACUUACUUACCCAUGUCAACCAGUGGGGUCUAUCACUAUACCACAAAAAGGAGUGUGGCUCGUAUUAACUGGAGCUAUUUUGUGUUGAGUCUGUAGGGAAGAAUUUUGAGGGCAAUGAGCUUGAGGAAUUGGGCGCAUAUGAGAAGGGUCGCCUUCAAAAUCAACUUCUCACAUGUUCUGCAAAACACUUACUGCCUCUGAUACCAUCACUCACAGGGGAUUUUCUGUUCCUCGUAGAGCUGCUGGGGACUGUCUUCCUCCUUUGGAUUAUAAGCAGCAGAGACCCUCUCAAGAACUUGUUGCGAAAGACCUGCAUGGUGUGGAGUGGAAAUUUUGUCAUAUUUAUAGAGGUUAACCAAGGUGGCAUCUACUCACUACUGGCUGGAGUAUUUUUGUAAGCCAAAAUAAUCUUGUUUCUGGUGAUGCAGUGUCUUUUCUAAGGGGCGAAAAUGGAGAACUGAGAUUGGGAAUCAGAAGAUCUGUUGGGCCUAGAAAUGGUCUUCCUGAAUCAACUGUUGGUAAUCAGAACAGUUAUCCCCAUAUCCUAUCUGUUGUGGCAAAUGUUAUAUCCACCAGAAGCAUGUUCCAUGUUUUCUACAGUCCAAGGUACUAAUACUAACUGAUCACGUAUUCUUGCUUUGCAAGAUGUAUGGAGUUCAUGCUGUAAUUAUUUUUUAUUUUGUUGUCAGUUGUCUCAAUGUAAGUAAAAUAAAACACUAGUUUCUUACUUUUUUUAUUAUUUCAAUUAAUUUUGUGCACGCUCUGGCAUGAUGCAAGGUUAGUGUGUGUGUAAUAGCACUAUGUGUAUGACAAUUGAUAAGAAUGAACUUGUGAAACUCCAAUGUUGUGAAUGGUAACAAAUAGGGAACACUUUGAUUUGGACAGAAUGGCCCUAUCCUUCCUAGAAAUUAAGAUAAAAAUAUCUUUACAGCUUACUUACUAGCCGUGGCCAUAACCAUAAGUUCAUAACCUAUUUAUUCAACCAAUUUUCUCCUUUUCUGAUUCCUGAUAAGUGGUGGUGGGAAAUGGGUUCCUUCUACUUAGAGCCUUUAAAAAAUAAACUAAAUAUGAUUCUUCCUCUGAUUGGUUUUCUCAUAAAUAAAAAAUCUUUUGCCAUAAGUUUUAAUUUUGUGUUGAUGUAAC